rnacentral:misc_RNA from 1 species
UCCGAGUUAACCCCGGCAGUCCCCCACGAGUCCCCACCACCAAAAAGGCGUGCUGGCAACAUAGGGCAAGGGUUGCGCUCGUUGCGGGACUUAACCCAACAUCUCACGACACGAGCUGACGACAGCCAUGCACCACCUGCACACAGGCCACAAGGGAACGCCUAUCUCUAGACGCGUCCUGUGCAUGUCAAACCCAGGUAAGGUUCUUCGCGUUGCAUCGAAUUAAUCCACAUGCUCCGCCGCUUGUGCGGGCCCCCGUCAAUUUCUUUGAGUUUUAGCCUUGCGACCGUACUCCCCAGGCGGGGCGCUUAAUGCGUUAGCUACGGCACAGACAACACAACGUCGCCCACACCUAGCGCCCACCGUUUACAGCGUGGACUAC